CUGAACUCAAGGCUCAGGAUCUUCAAGUACAGAACCUGAGACCAGAUGUAUUAUAAGACUGGAUCACUAUUUCAAUAAACCUAUUUCUUUUUAGCUUCAAGACUUGAUUUUUAUUUUUUGUUUCUUAGCUAAGAAAUUUUUUGCCACAAUUUUGGUGACACCAAUAUAAUUAGGCAGAAAUGCUGACCCUAAUGGUUCACUUCUCCAAGAAGGGAUUGUCUUUUUGGAUGCAUGAAUCUGGGGCUAUUUGCCUUUGGUCCCUUCUUGAAGGGGAGAUCAAGGAAGAAAGAUUCUUUGCCCAUUUGGACAUCCUUCAAGCUGAUGAGAUUUGGGCAAAAUCUCCAACUAAUUUGGGACCAUUUAAAUCAGCCAUCCCAAUCUCUAUUGCCACCAAAGGAGUAAAAUCAUGGUUUAUACUUCAAUAUCUACUGUCUAAGGAGAAAUACAUCAGGAGAUCUACGUCCACCCUGUACAACUAAUUAGAAAAGAUAUUUGGCAUUUCAAGUUUCCUGAAUUUGUUUCCCCAGCCUUACUGAGUCUCCUACAAAGGUGAGUGCGCAAGUUGUCCAGUGUUUACUUCUUUCUCCUAGCCCAUCCCACUCACCCUCUUCCCAUCCCACAAACCAGUCCUUCCUUUGAAUUGCAGACCUUCUGCUGCCUUCUCCCCAGAUUCUCUAGCCAUGAAUCAAGGAAAGGACAUGAAAAAGCACAGCAGCUUUAGCUAAUCAGAACACUCACAUGAAAUCAGUUUUGCCCUUCUCUCUAUUACCCACCCGUAAUGUUCUGUCUCUUUAAAUUCUCAGCCUUGUACCCUCAAAUUCGUUUUCCUUACUAACCAAAAACAAAUUUCUCUAAACAGAUCAACUUGGUUAUGCGCAUCAUUGGUUGCUUUUUCUCUAUUGACAUAAAACUCUUUGUAGUCAAGAGGCGCCUCCAAAAGCUCUGGCUUCCAGACACAACUUCUAAGCACAAAAAGUUCCCCCAGGCCCAGCUG
rnacentral:lncRNA from 1 species